CCCUCCUUAGCGUAGCGGUUAACGCGUCCGGCUGUAGUCAGUAAAUAACUUGCGAAUGCAAGGGACGCUAUAGGCAGUUACCGGAAGAUCCCCGGUUCAAAUCCUGGAGGGGGGA
rfam:Candidatus Altiarchaeales archaeon A3 Ga0073111_1079, whole genome shotgun sequence.